rnacentral:rRNA from 1 species
UACGGGGGGGCGAAGCGUUGUUCGGAAUUACUGGGCGUAAAGAGCUCGUAGGUGGUUUGUCGCGUUGUUCGUGAAAACCUGAGGCUUAACCUUGGGCGUGCGGGCGAUACGGGCAGACUGGAGUACUGCAGGGGAGACUGGAAUUCCUGGUGUAGCGGUGGAAUGCGCAGAUAUCAGGAGGAACACCGGUGGCGAAGGCGGGUCUCUGGGCAGUAACUGACGCUGAGGAGCGAAAGCGUGGGGAGCGAACAGG